ensembl:lncRNA
GUUUUUCUUAAAUUUUUUCUGCAUAAAACAUAGCAACCUCUGACCUAUCACACUGUAACCUCAGAACUCUAAUCUAAAACUUGCAACUAAAGUGUUUUUGUUUGCUUUUUUUUUUUAAACACACAGUUAAGAUACUAUAAAAAUAAAAGAUUAACUUAGAGCGUUAAGAAAUACAGACUGAAAUCCUGUACAUCUCUCACUACCUCACAUCAACAGCCAAUUUGGGUCCAUCAUGCCAGCUUCAGAGAGGGACAAUUACCUCUCUGUCUUCUCUAAGAAAAACAGAUCAUACGAGUGAUUUUCUUCCGAAACCUUCAAAAAAUUUGAUUGUUGAUCAUGAGUACACCUGUACAGACGAAGUACACAUCCUCCUGAUAAGACCUGGCACAUUUACAAGCACGUAAGUAUUGUCUUCUCUAAAACAAUAAGCUAUUUAUUUCCAAUGUUUUAUUUUUACAUUUAUCUCUAAACUACUCAUGCAUAGGAAAGUUUCCUUGCUUUACAUUGAGAAUCACACUUAACAGCAGUACAGUUUUCUUAUUACUGAACACUAAUUUAAUGCUUGAUAAAUGCAUGUUAAGAAUUCAGUCAAUAAGCAGAUCUAUUAAUUUCUUGAAACAUCUUUCCCUCUAUCUUCAAAAUAACUGAUUUGUAUUGUACAGAGUGUAUUUCACAGAAUCAUAGAACGGCACAGGUUGCAAGGAACCUUAAACAUCAUCACGUUCCAAGCUCCCUGACAUGGACAGGAUUGCCAGCCACAGGAUCAGGCUGCUCAGGGCCUCAUCCAACCUGGCCUUGAAUGCCUCCAGGGAUGGGGCAUCCACAUCUUACCUGUGCAGCCUGUUCCAGCACCUCACCACUCUCUCUGCUCACGUCUAUUGAGGUCAAGUCCAGGAUUGAGAAGUAAGAGACAAAAAGAAACGUAUAAACAUUUCCUUGCAUCAAAGCUGGAGCACAGCCCAAGCAAUUCAGCAAGUGAGAUCUCAGCUACUUCCACAGCCAAAUGGAGCAAUUUCACUCAAUCUGAAGAGCUCAGUCCUCCCCUACCAAGUGAAAUCCCCUCGAAAAUUCACAAUUGGCUGUUUUUAGUCGGUGUUAAAGCACCUUGCCUUAUAACAACAACCCAAGUACUAAUCCAUUAAAAGGAGAUUUAUCAAAUCAAGCGGCUCAAUUUACUUUCAAAAAUCUAGUUCUCCCUCAGUUUUGGUUUUUUUUUUUUCUUUUGCAUGUGUGUGCAUAAUAACAACUCUCCUCACUAAUAGCUGCUCCGUUGACUCAAUAUUUUGAGCAGCUUAAUUUCAGCCCCAGGAUUUCUGGACCAGAGCCACCAGAUUUUCUAAGUGCUGAGCCUUCAUUGUCUUCCAUUUAUAGACACAAGUACCAUGUAAGACAUUUUCAUCAAUUUUACGUGAUUUGUUUUAUUGAAAAGCCUGGAGUCUUCUGACGUGAUUGAUUUCCUGAAUUAUGUGCGUGCUGUAACUAUUUAUUAUUCUUUAAAAAAAUAAAAUUCCUAAGCCUCUUGUGCUCCUCAAGGUGAGUUGUUGCAUGUGUUUGCCCAGGUGGAAGGUUACCACGGCUACCUGACAUGGCUGAGCAGUACUUCACCUUUGAUUUGUCAAGUUCAGCUUGACAAAUCAAUUUGUUUUUAAUACUGACUGAUUUUCUACAAUACAAC